GGAGGGAUGUCUGAGUGGUUGAAGGAGACAGUCUUGAAAACUGUUGAGCCUUUACGGGUUCCGUGGGUUCGAAUCCCACUCCCUCCG
rnacentral:tRNA from 1 species